AACGAACGCUGGCGGCAUGCCUAACACAUGCAAGUCGAACGGGAUCCUAGCUUGCUAGGUGAGAGUGGCGGACGGGUGAGUAACACGUGGGAAUCUGCCUUUUGGUUCGGGAUAACCGCGGGAAACUGCGGCUAAUACCGAAUGCCCUCGAGAGAGGAAAGAUUUAUCGCCAGAAGAGGAGCCCGCGUCCGAUUAGGUAGUUGGUGGGGUAAAGGCCUACCAAGCCGACGAUCGGUAGCUGGUCUGAGAGGAUGAUCAGCCACACUGGGACUGAGAUACGGCCCAGACUCCUACGGGAGGCAGCAGUGGGGAAUAUUGGACAAUGGGGGCAACCCUGAUCCAGCAAUGCCGCGUGAGUGAUGAAGGCCUUAGGGUUGUAAAGCUCUUUUGCCAGGGAAGAUGAUGACUGUACCUGGAGAAUAAGCCCCGGCUAACUUCGUGCCAGUAGCCGCGGUAAU
rnacentral:rRNA from 1 species